rnacentral:rRNA from 1 species
GACGAACGCUGGCGGCAGGCCUAACACAUGCAAGUCGAACGCCCUAGCAAUAGGGAGUGGCAGACGGGUGAGUAACGCGUGGGAACGUGCCUUUCGGUUCGGAAUAACUCAGGGAAACUUGAGCUAAUACCGGAUACGCCCUUCGGGGGAAAGAUUUAUUGCCGAAAGAUCGGCCCGCGUCCGAUUAGCUAGUUGGUGUGGUAAUGGCGGACCAAGGCGACGAUCAGUAGCUGGUCUGAGAGGAUGAUCAGCAACACUGGGACUGAGACACGGACCAGACUCCUACGGGAAGCAGCAGUUAGGAAUCUUGGACAAUGGGCGCAAGCCUGAUCCAGCCAUGCCGCGUGAGUGAUGAAGGCCUUAGGGUUGUAAAGCUCUUUCAGCGGGGAAGAUAAUGACGGUACCCGCAGAAGAAGCCCCGGCUAACUUCGUGCCAGCCGCCGCAGUAAAAC